UUUAACCUUCGGGGGGACGCUUACCACUUUGUGGUUCAUGACUGGGGUGAAGUCGUAACAAGGUAGCGCUAGGGGAACCUGGCGCUGGAUCACCUCCUUA
rnacentral:rRNA from 2 species